GCGGGCGUAGUUUAGUGGUAAAACCUUAGCCUUCCAAGCUAAUGAUAGGGUUUCGAUUACCCUCGCCCGCU
rnacentral:tRNA from 1 species